CGGUUUACCGAGGUGCAGUCCCCAGGGCUGCCGAAUCAGCAGCGAUGGAGAGCGGCACCGGGCCCUGCAGAGAAGAGUGCCCACGUGAAGUCCAGCAGAUGACAGUCACUGAGGGGGCUGCCAAAAUCCCAGCGCCAACGAGGUCUUUUAUAACCUGGUGCAGGAAUUCAAUCGGAACCUGACAUGUGCUGUGAUCAUCGAGUUUGCUCGCAUUCAGCUUGGGGCCAAAGGAAUCCAGAUCAAGGUGCCAGGAGAGGAUACGCAAAAGGUGGUCGUGGACUCAUUAAAGCAAGAGGAAGAAAAGGCUGAACUGAAAGAGAGUGAAAACCUGGCCUCAGAAGACCAACCUCGCACAGCGGCGGUGAGGGAGAUCUGUGAGGAAGGCCUGCAUGUGCUGGAAGGCCUGGCAGCUUCAAGCCUAUGUUCCAUUCGAUUUGCCGUAGAGGUGCCUGGGCUCAGAUCUGUGGUUGCAAACGAUGCCUCUGCCCGGGCUGUGGAUCUCAUACGCCGGCAUGUGCAGCUCAAUGAUAUGGCCCACCUGGUACAGCCCAGCCAAGUAGAUGCCCGGAUGCUGAUGUACCAGCACCAGAGGGUGUCAGAGAGGUUCGACGUCAUCCAUCUGGAGCCCUGUGGCAGCCCUGGCCCCUUCACGGAUGCAGCUGUGCAGGCUGUGAGUGAAGGAGAGUUGCUGUGCGUGACCUGCACGGACAUGGCGGUGCCGGCGGGGAACAGCGGGGAGACUGUUACAGCAAAUACGGUGCCAUGGCCCUCAAGAGCCGGGCCUGUCACAAGAUGGCCCUGAGAAUCCUCUUGCACAGCCUGAACCUCUGCGCCAACCGUUACCAGCGCUUCGUAGUACCGCUGCUCAGCACAGCGCCAACUUCUACGUGCGUGUUUUUGUCCGUGUCUUCGCCGGCCAGCCCAAGGUUCAGCCCUCAGCCAGCAAGCAAGCGCUGGUGUUCCAGUGUGUGGGCUGCGGGGCCUUCCACCUUCAGCGACUCGGCAGAGCGUCAGGAGUUCCCCAGCGGCCGGGUCAAGUUUUCUGCAGCCUAUGUUCCCCCCGUGACCCCGAGUGUGAACACUGUGGGCAGUGACACCAGCUUGGUUGCUCCAUGUGGGCAGAGCCCAUCCAAGACCUGGAUUUCGUGGGCUGUGUACUAGAGGCUGUGCGCACUAACCCCAGCCGCUUCCACACCUCGGGGCGGAUCCGAAGGGUCCUGAGCGUCAUCACUGAGGAGCUUCCGGAUAUGCCUCUGUACUGCACCCUGGACCAGCAGAGCAGCACCAUCCGCUGCAACAUGCCCAGCCUCCCGUCCUUGCGGUCAGCCCUCCUCCACGCUCACUUCCGGGUCUCGCUCUCCCAGGCCGGUAAGAAGGCUGUGAAGACGGAUGCCCCCGCCUCCGCCCUCUGCAACAUCAUGCGCUGCUGGAAGAAGGAAUGUCCGGUGAAACGGGAGUGACUCUCAGACACCAGCCCAGUGUUCCGCAUUUUCAGUGUGGAGCCCAGGCUGCAGGCCAACUUCACCAUCCGGGAAAUUACCAACCCCAGCUCCCGCCAGCGAGGACCCAAGCGCUUCCGGGCCAACCCGGAAGCCAACUGGGGUCCCCAUCCUCAUGCCUGGCCAGGGAACAAGGCGGCCGGCAAAGUUAUGGAGUAGAGACGCAGGCUGCUUCGGAACAAGCGGAAGGAGCCGCUUUGGAACAAGCGGAAGGAGCCGCCAGAGGGCAGGGCCCAUCGAGCUGCCCUGCUCAAGACAUUUCCUUGCAAAAGCUUUAAGGAGGGCACCUGUCAACGCGGAGACCAGUGCUGCUACUCCCGCAGCCCCCCGACACCCGGGGUCUCUGCUGAUGCUGCCACUGACUGUCCAGAGACCUCCAGUUACAGCCCCCUUGGACCUGGGGCUGCCGCCAGGCCAGGCAUACCCUGA